rnacentral:misc_RNA from 1 species
AAUUCUCAACCUCUCUAGUUUUUCGACUAGUUAGGCUUGGAUUUGGAAGUUGCUGGCUCGUUCAGCUCUUCUUAAAUAUAUUAGCAAAGAUCUUUGCUGCUCAUCAUUGGUAUGAUAAUUAUCUAUAUCAUUGAUAAACAGUGUCCUUCACAGGAGAGCUCUUGCUUCUAAUCUAAGACAACAUGAUAAC